UCGCGGUCGCCCUGGAAACGCUCGAGCGGACCACUCCACUGACUGAAAGCGAUGUAUGGAACGUGACAAACACAAUCUACUGAACCGCUGCUGAGAUCCUGACCUCGUAUCCAGAUCCAGCAACACCCUGGGUGGUCCCACAGUCCACGGUGAGGGUGGCGUGGCGGCCUGUGACUGCCAGGGCUA